rnacentral:piRNA from 1 species
UCAAGCAAAUUAGGUUGUGAAUGGUGCUGU